rnacentral:rRNA from 1 species
AGAGCGAACGCUGGCGGCAGGCCUAACACAUGCAAGUCGAACGAUAAGCCACCUUCGGGUGGUGGACAGUGGCAGACGGGUGAGUAACGCGUGGGAACGUACCUUUCGGUUCGGAAUAACCCAGGGAAACUUGGGCUAAUACCGGAUACACCCUUCGGGGGAAAGAUUCAUUGCCGAAAGAUCGGCCCGCGUCGGAUUGGCUAGUUGGUGGGGUAAAAGCCUACCAAGGCGACGAUCCGUAGCUGGUCUGAGAGGAUGACCAGCCACACUGGGACUGAGACACGGCCCAGACUCCUACGGGAGGCAGCAGUCGGGAAUUUUGCGCAAUGGACGAAAGUCUGACGCAGCAACGCCGCGUGAGGGAUGAAGGCCUUCGGGUUGUAAACCUCUUUUAUCAGGGAAGAUAAUGACGGUACCUGAUGAAUAAGUCACGGCUAACUACGUGCCAGCAGCCGC